rnacentral:precursor_RNA from 9 species
UGCGUCGUCGUUUCACGAGCGAAUGAACUCAGCUAAUGGACUUUACUUCCUCUGCUUAAUUUUUCUGCAGAGGUAUUGUUUAUUGGCUAAGAUCAAAGCUCGAGCCCGGCAGCUUCGAAG